rnacentral:rRNA from 1 species
UACGUAGGUGGCGAGCGUUGUCCGGAUUUAUUGGGCGUAAAGCGCCCGCAGGCGGCUCGAUAAGUUUCAGGUGAAAUCUCCUGGCUCAACUGGGAGGGGUCCUGGAAAACUGUCAGGCUUGAGGCAGGGAGAGGGAUGCGGAAUUCCCGGUGUAGUAGUGAAAUGCGCAGAUAUCAGGAGGAACACCAAUGGCGAAGGCAGCUCGCUGGGACGUGACUGACGCUGAGACGCGAAAGCGUGGGGAGCAAACAGG